UGUGUCUCUUUAAACUUCCACUCUGUGUAAAAGAUUUCUUACAGAUUGAGCAGCUGAAAGGUUUUUCUCCUGUGUGAGUCAUCAUGUGUUUCUUCAGGGAUCCACUUUCAGAGAAAGCUUUAGCACACUCAGAGCAGCUGAAAGGUUUCUCUCCUGUGUGGAUUAUAUUGUGUUUCUGUAAACUUCCACUAUGUGUAAAAGAUUUAUUACAAACUGAGCAGCUAAAAGGUUUUUCUCCUGUGUGAGUUCUCAUGUGUCUAUUCAGAUUUCCCUUUUGGUCAAAUCUUUUUCCACACUCAGAACAGCUGAAUGUAUUCUUACGUC